rnacentral:lncRNA from 1 species
AAGGAGCAGAAUUACACAUGCCAUGUGCUCCAUGACGGGCUGCCUGAGCCCCUCACCCUGAGAUGGGGUAAGGAGGGUGUGGGUGCAGAGCUGGGGUCAGGGAAAGCUGGAGCCUUUUGCAGACCCUGACCUGCUCAGGGCUGAGAGCUGGGGUCAUGACCCUCACCUUCAUUUCCUGUACCUGUCCUUCCCAGAGCCUCCUCCAUCCACUGUCUCCAACAUGGCGACCGUUGCUGUUCUGGUUGUCCUUGGAGCUUGGCCAUCAUGGGAGCUGUGGUGGCUUUUGUGAUGAAGAGAAGGAGACACACAGGUAGGAAAGGGCAGAGUCUGAGUUUUCUCUCAGCCUCCUUUAGAGUGUGCUCUGCUCAUCAAUGGGAAACACAGUCACAACUGCAUUGCUACUGUCUGUAACUGGGUCUGCUCUCAGUUCUGGGAACUUCCUAGAGUCAAGAUCAUCCUUGAACUCUCACAGCUUUCCUUCUCACAGGUGGACAAGGAGGGGACUAUGCUCUGGCUCCAGGCAGGGACAGCUCCCAGAGCUCUGAUAU